ACACAGUACUCCAGAUGAGGCCACAGCAAUGUCAAAUAGAGGGAAUGGAUCACGCCCCUCAAUCUUCUGGCAAUGCCCCAUUUAUACAGCCCAAAAUGCCAUUAGCCUUCUGGCAACAAGGCACACUGUCGACUCAUAUCCAGCUUCUAGUCCACUGUAACCCCUAUGUCCUUUUCUGCCGACUGUUCACUUAGGUCCUUGGUCCCCAGCCUGUACGGUGAUGACUCCUUCCUUGCACUUGUCCUU